UCUUAGUUGUGAAUCACAUUCUCUCUCCUAAAUUACUGUUGCAAUAAUUAAUCAAAUGCUUGAGAUUUUGCAAGACACGAAGAAGGGGCAAGAAGACAGACCCACCAUGGAGACCAUUUUAUAUGUCAACAAGGGAAAAAGGAGACCAAAUGUGACGUACAGAACAAGAAGGCGAAAGUGCAGGCUUAAUUAAAGAAACGAAGGUGCUGUGACUGUGAUUCAAUGGUGCGAGAUGAUGGAGACCAAGCGGGUGAUGAUGGCUUUUGCUGCGUUGGUGUUCAAGUGGCUAAGGAUGUCAAUGGCGGAGACGACGGGUUUAGGUGCUGGUUGGAAAUGUUGUUCCUUGAAUCUCUUGAGUUCCUUUGAUGAUCUAGAUACAAUAUGUCUAUUUUGAUAUGUCACUAAUCUCAUUGGAUUUUGAAUCUUAUAUAAAUUGGGAUGGAUUAUUUACUAUGGUAGGUUGUAUAUGGGAAUUUUGAUUGAAAAAUGACUGAGUAUGUAUGAUAUUGUUGGCAUAAAUGUUGUAGUGUUUUUCCUUUAUGUUAA